CCUACGGGUGGCAGCAGUAGGGGAUAUUGCACAAUGGGGGGAACCCUGAUGCAGCGACGCCGCGUGGGUGAAGGAGUGCUUCGGCAUGUAAAGCUCUAUUGGCAGGGAAGAAGCAAGACGGUACCUGACUAAGAAGCCCCGGCUAACUACGUGCCAGCAGCCGCGGUAAUACGGAGGGGGCGAGCGUUAGCCGGAUUCACUGGGUGUAAAGGGAGCGUAGACGGCCAUGCAAGCCAGGGGUGAAAGCCUGGGGCCCAACCCCGGGACUGCCCUUGGAACUGCAUGGCUGGAGUGCGGGAGGGGCAGGCGGAAUUCCUGGUGUAGCGGUGAAAUGCGUAGAUAUCAGGAGGAACACCGGCGGCGAAGGCGGCCUGCUGGACCGCGACUGACGUUGAGGCGCGAAAGCGUGGGGAGCAAACAGGAUUAGAUACCCUAGUAGUC
rnacentral:rRNA from 1 species